rnacentral:lncRNA from 1 species
GAGAAAUUAAUUUCCACUUAGUUUUUGGAGUCAUUCCAACUCAUCCUCAUGAGUGAAAUAUGGGCAUCAGAAGGUGGAACAGAAAAUACAAAGCUAAUGAUCUGGUUCAUGUUAGUUAGUUCUCUCUUAAUCCUUUGAAAGAUUGCAUUUCCCGUCUCUGGAAUUUCCUCUCACUGACGGUUUUUAAAAGAAACAAGACAAUAUUUGCCAUGCAUUAUAUAUCAAGAUUAACUCAAGAAGCGAAGAUGAUCUAUUCACCAUCCCCCUAAGCCUCUCAUAAUUAGGUCUACCAGCUUUCAAGGACAGUACUGUCUGAGCUUUAAGAAUAAGAAUUCCCAUUGAAAUUUAAAAUGUCUCAGAGAGUAAAGGUUAGAAAGGACCAAAGGGACCUAACCCUUAUCCACCCUGACUGUCCUGAGAUGUGAGUGCACAAGGGCUGCAGGCCUGCAGUCACUCUGCUCCUGAGGGGGGACCCUGCUCCACAGGGCCUUGGCCACAGAUUUUCCAUUUCUGCUCGGCACCACAUUUAAAUUCCCACCCACUGCAAGCCCCCCCUAGUAUUGCAGGCUUUUCACCCCCUUUUUCUAAACCUGCAUUACCUGCAGCUGAGCUGCCUACAGUAUUUUUGCUGGAAGCCCCCUCAGGAGGGGAGGCAGGAGUCCAUGCCCAGCCCUCCAGCAAGGCUUGGUGGCUCUUGCAGUGUGACCCUGUGCAAGGCAAGGAGCUGAUGCCAGCAGUGCCUGGGGACAUCUCUGCGUUCCUGCCCUCAGAGGGGGGACAGCAGGUGACACAGCACGCUGGGGUGGCCCUGUCAGACCAGACUGCAGAAGGCUUUCCUGCAGCCAGCACUUCCCAGGGAAAAUGGGAACUUUCCAGGCACUCAGGGCAGUUGUCCUGGCAAGUCCCCACCUGAGGCCCACAGACUGCUGCUGGGACACAGACUGGACAGCAGUGGCCUCUGGAAAAGCAGGGGGUCCAACCCACACUGGUCACCCUCUUUUCCUCUGCAGCAGGCUCUCCCCAGCCCUGUGUCAGCUCCAGCAGGGCAGGGCAGAGCAGCCACCUUCCUCCUGCCCUUCCACCCUCCUCCUGUCCUUCCACCCUCCUCCUGCCCUUCCACCCUCCUCCUGUCCUUCCACCCUCCUCCUGUCCUUCCACCCUCCUNCUUCCCUCCUCCUGUCCUUCCACCCUCCUGCCCUUCCACCCUCCUCCUGUCCUUCCACCCUCCUCCUGUCCUUCCACCCUCCUCCUGUCCUUCCACCCUCCUCCUGUCCUUCCACCCUCCUCCUGCCCUUCCACCCUCCUGUCCUUCCACCCUCCUGUCCUUCCACCCUCCUCCUGUCCUUCCACCCUCCUGUCCUUCCACCCUCCUCCUGCCCUUCCACCCUCCUCCUGCCCUUCCCUCCUCCUCCUGUCCUUCCCUCCACCCUCCUGUCCUUCCACCCUCCUGUCCUUCCCUCCUCCUCCUGUCCUUCCACCCUCCUCCUGUCCUUCCACCCUCCUGUCCUUCCACCCUCCUGUCCUUCCACCCUCCUCCUGCCCUUCCCUCCUCCUCCUGUCCUGCUCUGGGAGCAGCCCUGCUCCCUGGGGUUCAUCAGCUGCUGCCUACAGAAGCCCCAGUGCAAAUCCCAGGAAAAAGGCAUUAAAUACACAACUUGUUCAGCUGGAAGAGUUGCAAGCUUGCUGAUGAAGACUCAAACACCAAAAGUUACCCAGUUCAGAAGCAGAAUCUCAUUAUUACCUGGAACCACCAAGAAACCUAACACUCAUCAUGUGUUAAAAUAUUUUGUUGUACAAGACUUAAGCAAAAAUAAGCUCAGGCUGUAUCCUCAGCUGUCACAGGCUGACAGAGCUGCACUGAUUGUGCUGGAACAGCGCUGCUCUAUGGAGCACAGACUCUGGCCUGCAGCAGCCCUGUCCCAGGCGAAGAAAAUCUGCAUUCCUCCAAAAAAUAAUUAAUUGAAAGCUGUUUGGUAGCUCUCCUGACAGAUGGGGAACACAGUCCACUGCCUGAUUUUCUGAUGCUCAUGAAGUGACCUGACUGAGCCAGCAAAGUUGUUAAUUCUUCACCACCUCAGCACGCAGGGAGCGGCUUGGGCAUCCAGCUUUCACACGUGUUCUUGGUAACUGUUGAGUGGGAGAGACAGAAAACGAGUUUGCUUAUGCUCCUCUUCUCUUCUGACACAGGGGAUGAAGGAACACCCACCUGAGCAGCUUUAAUGGCACAGUCUGAAGGUGGCUGAGCUAGAGCUGUCAGGUUUGCUGUGCUCUUGUUCAGCCCUCCCACAUCUGCCCUGAUGUUGCUCAGGAGGAUAAGAAAAGCUGCUGGACAGCAUCACCUCAGCUUCCCAGCAGCUCUCACCACACUGAGCAAUCAGCAUCCUGCACCUUCCCACAGAAACUGCUGCAAGCCAGGUAACAGGAAAAAUGAGUGCAUUUAUCUGUCACCCAUACAUGCGGGUUAUAAAAACCUCACCUUGAUGCUGGUACCUCCGUGCUUGUCCUCGAAUGGUGCAGAAAACUGGGUGUGUGCUGGAAAUCUACUCAUUUGCAAAGGAGGGGGACACACUGAUUAUCCAGUUUGAAACAUCACUGUAGGGAGCUGGGCAAAGGGGAGGUUAGAACCACACUAUGACUAUGGCUUUCAAAUUCCUCAGGUGUGAGCCACCUGCUGACAAGCUCCCUACUUAAAUGUCACUUAGCAAAGCUUUUGGCACUGGUGUUUUCCUAAGUGUAUUUCCCUAUUUGUCUUCCAGAUAAUUUCAUUAUCUGCCUGAGUGAGGCUCAAAGAAAGGCUUAUGUAAAGGUUUCUCCUAAUAAGACACAUCCCAGUUUGAAGCUGAUUAUUCCAGGAUUAAUACCAAGUGCUCAAUCCCAAAUUUUGCUUCUCCAACAUAACAGGCAUCCCUUUUCCACAUUUCCAUUUUCAAAUGUAAAGAAUAUUGCUGCCAGUCAGAUACUGCAGCCUGUCCCUCACUUACUUUAAAAAUGAACAACUUUAGUGUAGAAAUUACUGCUUGCAGACACCAGAAAGGAUCAGCAGAUAAGUCUCCAAGUUUUCUGGUUUUGUUUAAAGUGACAUCUGCUUGAAAAUUUUCAAGUGUCUGGAAAAUUACAAUAGGUCUCCUGGGAAUGGAUUAAUAGGCUGCAGACAUGCAAGGCAAAGCUAAAUGCUGAAUAAAAUACCUCACCUAGCACUGCA